rnacentral:ncRNA from 1 species
AAUCACCGGGGGUGCCCAGUCGGGCUGAGAGAGUCCCCAUUACCUGAUCUGGGUCAUGCCAGCGUAGGAAGCGUG